rnacentral:rRNA from 1 species
GAUGAACGCUGGCGGCGUGCUCAACACAUGCAAGUCGAACGGAAAGGCUCCUGCUUGCAGGGGUACUCGAGUGGCGAACGGGUGAGUAACACGUGGGUGAUCUGCCCUGCACUUCGGGAUAAGCCUGGGAAACUGGGUCUAAUACCGGAUAGGACCACAUUUUGGAUGGUGUGGUGGAAAGUUUUUCGGUGUGGGAUGAGCUCGCGGCCUAUCAGCUUGUUGGUGGGGUAAUGGCCUACCAAGGCGUCGACGGGUAGCCGGCCUGAGAGGGUGUACGGCCACAUUGGGACUGAGAUACGGCCCAGACUCCUACGGGAGGCAGCAAUGGGGAAUAUUGCACAAUGGGCGCAAGCCUGAUGCAGCGACGCCGCGUGGGGGAUGACGGCCUUCGGGUUGUAAACUCCUUUCGCUAGGGACGAAGCGUUUUUGUGACGGUACCUGGAGAAGAAGCACCGGCUAACUACGUG